rnacentral:rRNA from 1 species
CCUGCGGAAGGAUCAUUAUCGAGUUUUGAAACGGGUUGUCGCUGGUCCCUCUAACGUGGGGGACAUGUGCACGCCUGGCUCAUCCACUCUUCAACCCCUGUGCACCUGUCGUAGGCGCCCGGUCAGACGGGUCGACUUCAUUGUCGGCCUGGAAGCCUCGGCCUAUGUUUUCUUACAAACGCUUCAGUCGUAGAAUGUAAAACAUCGCGGAUAACGCAUUUUAAAUACAACUUUCAGCAACGGAUCUCUUGGCUCUCGCAUCGAUGAAGAACGCAGCGAAAUGCGAUAAGUAAUGUGAAUUGCAGAAUUCAGUGAAUCAUCGAAUCUUUGAACGCACCUUGCGCUCCUUGGUAUUCCGAGGAGCAUGCCUGUUUGAGUGUCAUGGAAUUCUCAACCUUCGAAAGCAUUUUUUAAAACUGUUUUCGGGGGCUUGGACUUGGAGGUCGUGUCGGCUUGCAAAGGUCGACUCCUCUGAAACGUAUCAGCGUGAACCUUUACGGAUCGCCUUCGGUGUGAUAUACGUCUACGCCGUGGUCGCGAAGUAUGAUCGUGUUCGUGCUUCCAAUCGUCUCUUCGCGAGACAGAACUUCUUUUGACAAUCUGACCUCAAAUCAGGUAGGACUACCCGCUGAACUUAAGCAUAUCA